UGCCUUACACAUGCAAGUCGAACGCGAAAGCGGGGCAACCCGCAAGUAGAGUGGCGAACGGGUGAGUAAUACAUCGGAACGUAUCCAGUAGCGGGGGAUAACCUGUCGAAAGAUAGGCUAAUACCGCAUACGAUCUACGGAUGAAAGCGGGGGACCGCAAGGCCUCGCACUAUUGGAGCGGCCGAUGUCGGAUUAGCUAGUUGGUGAGGUAAAGGCUUACCAAGGCGACGAUCCGUAGCUGGUCUGAGAGGACGAUCAGCCACACUGGAACUGAGACACGGUCCAGACUCCUACGGGAGGCAGCAGUGGGGAAUUUUGGACAAUGGGCGCAAGCCUGAUCCAGCCAUGCCGCGUGAGUGAAGAAGGCCUUCGGGUUGUAAAGCUC
rnacentral:rRNA from 1 species